UGCCAGCCGCCGCGGUAAUACGGAGGGAGCUAGCGUUGUUCGGAAUUACUGGGCGUAAAGCGCACGUAGGCGGCGAUUUAAGUCAGAGGUGAAAGCCCGGGGCUCAACCCCGGAACUGCCUUUGAGACUGGAUUGCUAGAAUCUUGGAGAGGCGAGUGGAAUUCCGAGUGUAGAGGUGAAAUUCGUAGAUAUUAGGAGGAACACCAGUGGCGAAGGCGACUCUCUGGGCCAAUACUGACGCUGAGGUUCGAAAGCAUGGGUAGCGAACAGGAUUAGAUA
rnacentral:rRNA from 1 species